rnacentral:rRNA from 1 species
GACGAACGCUGGCGGCGUGCCUAAUACAUGCAAGUAGAACGCUGAAGAGAGGAGCUUGCUCUUCUUGGAUGAGUUGCGAACGGGUGAGUAACGCGUAGGUAACCUGCCUUGUAGCGGGGGAUAACUAUUGGAAACGAUAGCUAAUACCGCAUAACAAUGGAUGACACAUGUCAUUUAUUUGAAAGGGGCAAUUGCUCCACUACAAGAUGGACCUGCGUUGUAUUAGCUAGUAGGUGAGGUAAUGGCUCACCUAGGCGACGAUACAUAGCCGACCUGAGAGGGUGAUCGGCCACACUGGGACUGAGACACGGCCCAGAAUCCUACGGGAGGCAGCAGUAGGGAAUCUUCGGCAAUGGGGGCAACCCUGACCGAGCAACGCCGCGGGAGUGAAGAAGGUUUUCGGAUCGUAAAGCUCUGUUGUAAGUCAAGAACGGGUGUGAGAGUGGAAAGUUCACACUGUGACGGUAGCUUACCAGAAAGAGACGGCUAACUACGUG